rnacentral:rRNA from 1 species
AGACCCGAAACCCGGUGAUCUAGCCAUGGGCAGGUUGAAGGUUGGGUAACACUAACUGGAGGACCGAACCGACUAAUGUUGAAAAAUUAGCGGAUGACCUGUGGCUGGGGGUGAAAGGCCAAUCAAACCGGGAGAUAGCUGGUUCUCCCCGAAAGCUAUUUAGGUAGCGCCUCGUGAAUUCAUCUCCGGGGGUAGAGCACUGUUUCGGCUAGGGGGCCAUCCCGGCUUACCAACCCGAUGCAAACUGCGAAUACCGGAGAAUGUUAUCACGGGAGACACACGGCGGGUGCUAACGUCCGUCGUGAAGAGGGAAACAACCCAGACCGCCAGCUAAGGUCCCAAAGUCAUGGUUAAGUGGGAAACGAUGUGGGAAGGCCCAGACAGCCAGGAUGUUGGCUUAGAAGCAGCCAUCAUUUAAAGAAAGCGUAAUAGCUCACUGGUCGAGUCGGCCUGCGCGGAAGAUGUAACGGGGCUAAACCAUGCACCGAAGCUGCGGCAGCGACGCUUAUGCGUUGUUGGGUAGGGGAGCGUUCUGUAAGCCUGUGAAGGUGUGUCGUGAGGCAUGCUGGAGGUAUCAGAAGUGCGAAUGCUGACAUAAGUAACGAUAAAGCGGGUGAAAAGCCCGCUCGCCGGAAGACCAAGGGUUCCUGUCCAACGUUAAUCGGGGCAGGGUGAGUCGACCCCUAAGGCGAGGCCGAAAGGCGUAGUCGAUGGGAAACGGGUUAAUAUUCCCGUACUUGGUGUUACUGCGAAGGGGGGACGGAGAAGGCUAUGUUGGCCGGGCGACGGUUGUCCCGGUUUAAGCGUGUAGGUGUGUGUUCCAGGUAAAUCCGGUUCACUUUAACACUGAGGCGUGACGACGAGGCACUACGGUGCUGAAGCAACAAAUGCCCUGCUUCCAGGAAAAGCCUCUAAGCAUCAGGUAACAUCAAAUCGUACCCCAAACCGACACAGGUGGUCAGGUAGAGAAUACCAAGGCGCUUGAGAGAACUCG